UCUAACUUAAACGGCUGAUCACAGUUAGGUGCCAUUAAGACAGGAGCAUUGCACAUCAAAGUUUUAACUGAAUCAAAAGCAUGUUGACACUCAAUUGACCACUCAUAAGCAUUAGAUGGACUAAGCAGUGAAGUAAGAGGACUCACAACGGUCGAGAAAUUCUUACAGAACCCACGAUAGUAGCCUGCCAUUCCUAGGAACCUCCGCAAUUCUCUACGAGUAGUAGGAAUUGGAAAUUCAACUAUGGCAGUUACUUUAGCUUCCACGGGUCUCACUUGACCUUGACCAACCUCCUUACCUAGACUGAUGUGUUCUGACCAACUUCGAGAAUACAAAACCAGAUCGUCAAGAUAGGCAUUACAGUCUGGCACACCAUGUAAAACUAUAUUAACAAGGCGUUGAAAAGUUGCGGGAGCAUUUCGAAGACCGAAAGCCAUCGACGUGUACUGAAGAAAAUUGUCUGGAGUGACAAAUGCUGAGAUUUCUGAAGCUCUGGAGGUAACGGGUAACUAUCUGGUACAGUCACUGAAUUGACUUUUCGAUAGUCUGUGCAAAAUCUAACUGAACCAUCAGGUUUGGGAACAAGUAAACAUGGAGAACUCCACGGACUGUAA